rnacentral:rRNA from 1 species
CCUACGGGAGGCACCAGUGGGGAAUCUUGGACAAUGGGGGCAACCCUGAUCCAGCCAUGCCGCGUGAGCGAUGAAGGCCCUAGGGUUGUAAAGCUCUUUCACCCGUGAAGAUAAUGACGGUAGCGGGAGAAGAAGCCCCGGCUAACUCCGUGCCAGCAGCCGCGGUAAUACGGAGGGGGCUAGCGUUGUUCGGAAUUACUGGGCGUAAAGCGCGCGUAGGCGGAUAUUCGAGUCGGGGGUGAAAUCCCGGGGCUCAACCCCGGAACUGCCUCCGAUACUGGGUGUCUAGAGGACGGGAGAGGCGAGUGGAAUGCCGAGUGUAGAGGUGAAAUUCGUAGAUAUUCGGCGGAACACCCGUGGCGAAGGCGGCUCGCUGGUCCGUUCCUGACGCUGAGGCGCGAAAGCGUGGGGAGCAAACAGGAUUAGAUACCCUUGUAGUC